rnacentral:rRNA from 1 species
UACGUAGGGGGCAAGCGUUGUCCGGAAUCAUUGGGCGUAAAGAGCGCGUAGGCGGCCCAGUCAGUCCGCUCUGAAAGUCAGGGGCUUAACCCCUGAAUGCGGGUGGAUACUGCUGGGCUGGAGCACUGUAGAGGCAGGUGGAAUUCCGGGUGUAGCGGUGGAAUGCGUAGAGAUCCGGAAGAACACCGGUGGCGAAGGCGGCCUGCUGGGCAGUAGCUGACGCUGAGGCGCGACAGCGUGGGGAGCAACAGGAUUAGAA